UGCCCAAUCCAUUGGCGUCUGAAAGGCGCUGCGUGGAUGAUGAUGCCACUGAUUUACGAUAUUCCAGCAUAAUAUCUAAUAACAAUGCAGUUGCGCUCGCCUGCAUCCUGUCAGGGCUUGUUUUGGUAAUGCCUUUCUUCCUGUUAUGGGCUACGCUGAUCGUCUGAGUAGGUGACCCGGUAGGUUACCGGGUCAUUUU
rnacentral:sRNA from 1 species